GUUUCAAUUCCUCAUAGGCAGGCUAUCGGCGUAUCUCAAAAUGAGACACCGUGUACAUGAUACGUAG
rnacentral:sRNA from 1 species